AAGUGGUGCAUGGAAGUGCAGAUAAAGAGAAAUGGACCUACUGUCGUCACUGCGACGAGUCAAAUUACCGACGGACACGAAGUUCUUGGACAUCGUUCUUGGAUUUCGAUAUAAUUUUACACCUUCGAAGAGAGAAGGAGAAACGCUUUCUGUUCCCCAUUAAUUAAAUCCCAAACUAUCGGUUUCCUGUUAUAUUGUCGUUCAAUACACGGAAGGGAUUCAAUGUCUGUUGGCGUUGUGGCCAAGUGUAUUGUUUUGUAAACAACGACGGAGGACAGAGUUUGGCCUGAAUGAUACAUCGAUUGUCAAUUAACAGCGAUUAAUUGAUAAGCUGGUAGCUUUGAUCACGUAAUACAAGUGGAUUUGAAAGUGCAUCAGUCUAUCAAUAGCGAAUGUUUGCCACCAAAUCAAUGAAGUAUGUUUGGAUCACUGCGUAGCAAGUUUCAGACAGUGCAAGAAGGUAUAUCUGCCAGUAUACGUGGAUUGUCCACCGCUGAGCACCCAAAGAGCAAAAAGUCGGUGAAUACAAGGAAUGUAAAUUAUGAUGCUGGGGCAGACGUUUUGCAUCACUUUCAAUUACAAUGGAAUGAGCUUCAUGAACUUGCCGAGGAGAAUGGAGGAAAGGCACAGGAAGCAGAUGCGCUGAUCUCCUCCAUUUAUGAGAAACUUCAACAUGAGUGGAACAAUGUUACCUGUUUAAAUAGCACUUUAGCCUACAUUCCAAAGAUUAAUAAUGCGAUUCAAGAUCUCAUGGACCAAAUAGGAAAUUUACAAGAAAUGUUUGAGGAAGUUGAAGGAGCUUUGUAUCGAUUGGAGGACCUAAAUGAAAUGUUAGAUUUACAAAAUAGGCAGCUGGAUCACAGAUUCCAGUUGGCUCUUUACAAAGAGAAGAAAUUGAUAGAAUUAAACAACUUGAAAGCAAAGUUAGCUAACGAACACACGGAAAGACUUUCACAACACGAAUUAAAUCAGCAAAAAAAAUUAAGGGAACGACGAGAGACUUUUGAGGAAGCUUUUAAAGAGGAUCUUGAAGAGUACAAAGCAACUGGCUCCAUACCAAUUCGCCAUCUCUUGUUCAAAUCAAGAGCUACCAGUUUCUACAAAAGGCCCAUCUUUAGAUGAAAUAGUGUUGGACAUUGAUUCAAAAAUAUUUGACGAGUUUUUAGAAAAUUAAAGGCAGAGAAGAGUCAGGUUUCUUCCAAAUAAUUGCUGAAGUGAUGAAAUUUUUUGUUAGACUAAUAACUGUACGUAUUUACAAAAAAUAUAAUUAUCUUAUAAUUAGUUGUUCAUAAAUUAUGAGUAUAAAUUAUGAACAACUAAUAAAAGUUUAAUAUAGUGCAUAAUAUAGUUAUAUGUAACUAUAAUCAAAAGCUUGUGUUAUGUUAGAAGCUUCCAGUUUGACCACAGCCAUUCACAGUGAUUAAUUCUUAGAAUUGUUUUCAUUGAAUACACCAAUUCAGAAAUCUUAUUUAGCCAAUAAAUGUAGGCAAUCACGCGUCACUAUUUAUGUACAAUUAUGCAGUUAAUGGGAUUAUAUUAAUGCAUACAUUACCGUUAAUAAAUCUCUGCUUCAUCGAA
rnacentral:misc_RNA from 1 species